rnacentral:rRNA from 1 species
AUUGAACGCUGGCGGCAGGCCUAACACAUGCAAGUCGAGCGAGCGGCGGACGGGUGAGUAAUGUAUGGGGACUGCCCGAUAGAGGGGGAUAACUACUGGAAACGGUAGCUAAUACCGCAUACUAUCGGAUAACCCAUAUGGGAUUAGCUAGUAGGUGAGGUAAUGGCUCACCUAGGCGACGAUCCCUAGAUGGUCUGAGAGGAUGACGAGCCACACGGGGACGGAGACACGGCCCAGACCCCUAGGGAGGCAGCAGUGGGGAAUAUUGCACAUUGGGCGCAAGCCGGAUGCAGCCAUGCCGCGUGUAUGAAGAAGGCCCUAGGGUUGUAAAGUACUUUCAGUCGGGAGGAGUUACCUACAGAAGAAGCACCGGCUAACUCCGUGCCAGCAGCCGCGGUAAUAC